AGCCAUGCGAGUCAUGGGGCGCCUUGCGCGCACCGGCGGACGGCUCAGUAACACGUCGGUAACCUACCCUCGGGAGGGGGAUAACCCCGGGAAACUGGGGCUAAUCCCCCAUAGGCCUGAGGUACUGGAAGGUCCUUAGGCCGAAAGGGGCUUCGGCUCGCCCGAGGAUGGGCCGGCGGCCGAUUAGGUAGUUGGUGGGGUAACGGCCCACCAAGCCGAAGAUCGGUACGGGCCAUGAGAGUGGGAGCCCGGAGAUGGACACUGAGACACGGGUCCAGGCCCUACGGGGCGCAGCAGGCGCGAAACCUCCGCAAUGCGGGAAACCGCGACGGGGGGACCCCCAGUGCCGUGGCAUCGCCACGGCUUUUCCGGAGUGUAAAGAGCUCCGGGAAUAAGGGCUGGGCAAGGCCGGUGGCAGCCGCCGCGGUAAUACCGGCGGCCCGAGUGGUGGCCGCUAUUAUUGGGCCUAAAGCGUCCGUAGCCGGGCCCGUAAGUCCCUGGCGAAAUCCCACGGCUCAACUGUGGGGCUUGCUGGGGAUACUGCGGGCCUUGGGACCGGGAGAGGCCGGGGGUACCCCUGGGGUAGGGGUGAAAUCCUAUAAUCCCAGGGGGACCGCCAGUGGCGAAGGCGCCCGGCUGGAACGGGUCCGACGGUGAGGGACGAAAGGCCAGGGGAGCGAACCGGAUUAGAUACCCGGGUAGUCCUGGCUGUAAAGGAUGCGGGCUAGGUGUCGGGCGAGCUUCGAGCUCGCCCGGUGCCGAAGGGAAGCCGUUAAGCCCGCCGCCUGGGGAGUACGGCCGCAAGGCUGAAACUUAAAGGAAUUGGC
rnacentral:rRNA from 1 species